CGCGAAGAACCUUACCUGGGUUUGACAUGCGCGGAUGCCCUCCUUGAAAGGGGAGUAGGCUGCCUUCGGGUGAAACGUGCACAGGUGCUGCACGGCUGUCGUCAGCUCGUGCUGUGAAGUGUCGGGUUAAGUCCCUUAACGAGCGAAACCCCUAUCGCUAGUUGCCAGCGGGUUAUGCCGGGGACUCUAGCGAGACCGCCGGCGUCAAGCCGGAGGAAGGUGGGGAUGACGUCAAGUCAUCAUGGCCCUUAUGCCCAGGGUGUCACACGUGCUACAAUGGGCUGUACAAAGGGUAGCGAACCCGCGAGGAGGAGCCAAUCCCAAAAAGCAGUUCUCAGUUCGGAUUGGAGUCUGCAAUUCGACUCCAUGAAGUUGGAAUCGCUAGUAAUCGUGGAUCAGCACGCCACGGGGAAUCCGUUCCCGGGCCUUGUACACACCGCCCGUCACACCACGAGAGUUGGUUGUACCAGAAGUCGUUGGGCAAACCCUUCGGGGAUGCAGGCGCCUAAGGUAUGACUGAUGAAUGGGGUGAAGUCGUAACAAGGUAACCUUAAUUAAAA
rnacentral:rRNA from 1 species